AUGAAUCACAUAUGUGAAGUUAAACACAACUCAAGAAGGACCCUUGGGCCAAAUCAAAGUGGAAGUCCUCCAAACGAAUAUUUUUAAGAAAACGUUUUCGGGUGACCUGACUUUGGGGGGCAAAAACGGUAUUAUAUGUUUGGAAUUUGGAAAAAUACCAAGAAUUAGAAGUUGUAGAUAAUUGAAUUAUCUUUCCAACCAUAGGUCGUGGGUUCCCAGGUGACGUCGGUACAAGGAGAUAUGGACGUUUUAAGGUCGAAAGGUCAGUGGGCUAGGCCCAACUCGGGACCAACCGAGUUGGCCCAAAAAAAUGAAAAGAAAAAUUUAGGCCCAAGGUGAGAGGGUGGCCGGCCAUACCUGGUCCAAGCCCACCAAAUUAAUUAAUUUCCAUGUGGCAAAUUAAUUAUAAAGGGAUCAUUAUCCCUUAGAUGAUUCAAGAAACUUAGAAGGAGAAAGAACAAACAAAACAAGAGCAAAAAAAAGGGCCAUUUCGGGUUUGGCCAUAGAAAAUUCACCCCUCCAAAUCUUCCUCCAAAAAUUAUUUUCUUGUGGUAUUCCUACUAAUUUAAGGGUCCUUUACAACUUGGUGUAAUUGUUUUGGAAGAAGGAGCACUUAUUUCUUCAAGUUGACAACUUGUUCAAGUGAAGGAGUUGUAGAAAAAGAUUUUGGGCGAAACGGGAAUUGAAUUUGGAAAGGCGUAAAGAGCAUAUAAGGUACAAACGACAGGUUUGCUGAUCCGCCCGCGUAGGACUUUAUUCUGCUAUUUUGGAGCGCUCUUUUAUCCGGAGCCCAUAUUUUGGUACAGUCUUCUGCUAUCGUAUAUAUGUACAUUAUUCAGGGGUACGACGGGGCCCUGUCCCGUCUUAUGAUUCUGUUAUGUUCUGUAGAGGUCUGUAGACAUACUUGUGUGGGUUCUGUAUAUGUUUUUGGGUUACUAUGAUCUGUGAUGGCCUUAUCGGCUUCCACGUGCUAUAUCUGUUCACCUGCAAUAUCUGGUAGCGCCAAUUAACUUUUAUAUUAAUAUAUUCUGCAAAUAUGCUCA